rnacentral:rRNA from 1 species
UACGGAGGAUGCAAGCGUUAUCCGGAUUGAUUGGGCGUAAAGCGUCUGUAGGUGGUUACGCUAGUCGGCUGUUAAAGAUCAGGGCUGAACCCUGAGCAAGCAGUCGAAACUGCGUGGCUGGAGUACGGUAGGGGCAGAGGGAAUUCCCGGUGUAGCGGUGAAAUGCGUAGAUAUGUAAUAGAACACCGAUUGCGAAGGCAGUUCACUAGGCGUGUAUUGACACUGAGGCUCGAAAGCGUGGGGAUCAAACAGG